rnacentral:rRNA from 1 species
UGGGGAGGCGGCGAGUUAGUAGCAGUAGGUGGCAAAGUGGCUUUGUUACCUAUUCCAUCAGGAACCGCAGAUUUUUUAGUCCAUCACAUUCAUGCAUUUACCAUACAUCUGACUGUAUUAAUACUUUUGAAAGGUGUUUUAUUUGCUCGGAGUUCCCGUUUGAUACCCCAUAAAGAAAAUCUAGGUUUUCGCUUUCCUUGCGAUGGCCCUGGCCGACUGGGAACAUGUCAAUUAUCUUCCUGGGAUCAUGUUUUCUUAGGUUUAUUCUAG